GAAAGUGUAGCUCAAUGGUAGAGUCCUUGACUCAUGUGCAAAGGGCCCUGGGUUCCGUUCCCAGCACUUCA
rnacentral:tRNA from 1 species